GUGUCAGCAGCCGCGGUAAUACGUAGGGUGCAAGCGUUGUCCGGAAUCAUUGGGCGUAAAGCGCGCGUAGGCGGCCCGAUAAGUCCGCUGUAAAAGUCAACGGCUCAACUGUUGAAAGCCGGUGGAUACUGUCGGGCUAGAGUACGGAAGAGGCAAGUGGAAUUCCUGGUGUAGCGGUGGAAUGCGCAGAUAUCAGGAGGAACACCUAUAGCGAAGGCAGCUUGCUGGGACGUUACUGACGCUAAGGCGCGAAAGCGUGGGGAGCGAACAGGAUUAGAUACCCCCGUAGUCC
rnacentral:rRNA from 1 species